rnacentral:lncRNA from 1 species
CUUCUCGGAAUCGUAAUCACUAUUGUGUUGUUCUAGAAAACCAGUUUCUAAAAUAAUUCUAAAAAUGUUUUAAGUGUAAUUUAAAACAUUCUUCAUUUCUUUACUUCGAACUUCCGCCAUAUUAAUAACGUCAUCGACAGAACCCGAGAUAUUGAUUGGCUGAAAAUUUUCAAACGACGGGGACACGUAGGAACUGUAGUAAUAGCCAAGUUUUAGCCGUUGACAGGUUAUACGUGACGUUAACAUGUGUGUUUUGCUAAUUUAUUUGUUUAUAUCAAAUAUUUUGCCCUUAUAAAUUGAUAAACAUGAGCAAUAAACGGAAAAACAGCAGUGUUGAUGCAAACAAAAAGAAAUUAAGGACUCAUCAACUUCAUUCGAUCAAGACAAAGAUGGAAAUAAAUAAAUAUUUUAAAACACAGUUUUUGGUGCACAUUUUUUUACAUCCCUCGGCUUUCGAACAUUCAACAUUUGCACACACUUUUGGGAACCAAUUAUGUGCGAAAGUCGAGGGCCGCCUGUAUAUAAAAAUUGUCAAAAUCAGAGGGGCACAUGGUUGGCACUCCCAUUCAAUACA